UACAGAGGGUGCGAGCGUCAAUCGGAAUUACUGGGCGUAAAGGGCGCGUAGGCGGUUAAUUAAGUUAGAGGUGAAAUCCCUAGGCUUAACCUAGGAAUUGCCUAUAAAACUGAUUAGCUAGAGUAGAGUAGAGGGAAGUGGAAUUUCCGGUGUAGCGGUGAAAUGCGUAGAUAUCGGAAAGAACAUCAGUGGCGAAGGCGGCUUCCUGGAUUCAUACUGACGCUGAGGCGCGAAAGCAUGGGUAGCAAACAGG
rnacentral:rRNA from 1 species